UGCCACUUGAGAGAACAAUAGAUUAUUGGU
rnacentral:piRNA from 1 species